rnacentral:lncRNA from 1 species
CUUCCAGGACCAGAGGUGGCGGCUGGGACUGUUAAUGUGCACAUCACAGUUUUGUGUAUGGAGGAAGAAUCCGAAAGGAGUCACCAGACCCUACAGGGACUCACUAUUAGUUGGGCAUUUGUUUCCUGCUACUUUGAAUGCUUCCAUCAAAGUGGUUGGAUUCAUAUAGUAGCCUUAAGAAAGAUUCAUGAAAAGAAGGAUGGUUUGUUCCCAUUGCUCCUCUCAAGACCAUCUGAUAAACAAGGCACAAAACCAGCCUGGAGACCUACUCAUUUUCCUCACCUUCCAACACAGCUCAUUAAGCAUGCUCAGUUUUAGAUUCCAACAAGUAAUGUCAAAAGAGCUGUUAAAGUCAUCUUCGUUUAACACCCAUAAUGGAACGAAGAUUUCC